rnacentral:rRNA from 1 species
CCUACGGGAGGCAGCAGUGGGGAAUAUUGCGCAAUGGGCGAAAGCCUGACGCAGCAACGCCGCGUGGGGGAUGAAGGCCUUCGGGUUGUAAACCCCUUUCAGCAGGGACGAAAAUGACGGUACCUGCAGAAGAAGCCCCGGCCAACUACGUGCCAGCAGCCGCGGUAAUACGUAGGGGGCAAGCGUUGUCCGGAUUUAUUGGGCGUAAAGAGCUCGUAGGCGGUUGCGUAAGUCGGAUGUGAAAACUCAGGGCUCAACCCAGAGACGCCAUCCGAUACUGCCUGACUAGAGUCCGGUAGAGGAGCAUGGAAUUCCUGGUGUAGCGGUGAAAUGCGCAGAUAUCAGGAGGAACACCAGUGGCGAAGGCGGUGCUCUGGGCCGGUACUGACGCUGAGGAGCGAAAGCGUGGGUAGCGAACAGGAUUAGAUACCCUGG